GGCUAUGUGAUGUAGUGGUUAUCACGUUUGCUUCACACGCAGAAGGCCGACGGUUCGAUCACGGCCAGGGUGUGGUCU